UUAAUUUAUUUAUUUUCCUUUUUUACACCAACCGCAACCGCCCGCAACCGCAAACGCUUGCGGGAAGGAGCUUUUGAAAUCCAGCGAUUUCGAGCGGUUCGAAGCGGUGUGGAGCGGUUUCUAUGAUUGGUACCAACCGCUAGCAACCGCAACCGACCGCUAACAACCGCUAGGCGGGUGCUAGCGGGAGAACCAAUCAAGCCCUAA
rnacentral:lncRNA from 1 species